rnacentral:rRNA from 1 species
CAGCAGUCAAGAAUAUUAGUCAAUGCUCGUAAGAGUGAACUAGCUAACUGAAAUCACACACAUGCCAAAAUUGGUAUAGUAUGUGAUAACAUAAGGGAAAAUAAUGAUUAAACCUUAUUAUUAGUGCUGUCCAAAUCUGGUGCCAGAAGACUCGGUAAGGCCAGAGGCGCAAACGUUAGUCGUCUUAAUCAGGCGUAAAGGGUUCGUAGGCAGCUUAGAACAUCAAAUCUUUAAAAUUAGCCAAAAAGUAAAGAUUUCGAUAAGUAAAAGCUAGGAUCUUAUUGGGGUUAUGUUAAAUAAUACUUAGGGUAGAGAUAAAAUGUUUAGAACCUAAGGGGAAUACUAAAGGCGAAGGCUCUUUUUCCACUAAUGAUCGACGCUGAGGAACGAAAGUGAGGAUAGGAAAAAGGAUUAGAUACCCGAGUACCCCUCUCUGUCAACGAUGAAUGGUGAUUAGGCUAGAAUUCUAUGUGAACUAGCGAAUAUGCUAACGCGAUAACCAUUCCGCCUUGUGAGUACGGUCGCAAGACUGAAAACAAAAAAAUUAGUCGGUCUCGGAGCAAACGAAGUGAAGCAUGUUAUUUAAUUCGAUAAUCCGC